GACGAACGCUGGCGGCGUGCCUAACACAUGCAAGUCGAGCGAAUGAAGUUCUUUCGGGAAUGGGUUUAGCGGCGGACGGGGGAGUAACACGUGGGCAACCUGCCUCAUAGAGGGGAAUAGCGUUCCGAAAGGGAGAUUACUACCGCAUCGGAUUGUAGUACCGCAUGAUACAGCAAUUAAAGGAGCAAUCCGCUAUGAGAUGGGCCCGCGGCGCAUUAGGUAGGUGGUGAGGGAACGGCUCACCAUGGCGACGAUGCCUAGCCGACCUGAGAGGGUGAGCGGCCACACUGGGACUGGGACACGGCCCAGACUCCUACGGGAGGCAGCAGUGGGGAAUAUUGCACAAUGGGGGAAACCCUGAUGCAGCAACGCCGCGUGAGUGAUGACGGCCUUCGGGUUGUAAAGCUCUGUCUUCAGGGAAGAUAAUGACGGUACCUGAGGAGGAAGCCACGGCUAACUACGUGCCAGCCGCCGCGGUAACAC
rnacentral:rRNA from 1 species